AUUGAACGCUGGCGGCAGGCCUAACACAUGCAAGUCGAGCGGAUGAAGGGAGCUUGCUCCUGGAUUCAGCGGCGGACGGGUGUGUAAUGCCUAGGAAUCUGCCUGGUAGUGGGGGAUAACGUCCGGAAACGGGCGCUAAUACCGCAUACGUCCUGAGGGAGAAAGUGGGGGAUCUUCGGACCUCACGCUAUCAGAUGAGCCUAGGUCGGAUUAGCUAGUUGGUGGGGUAAAGGCCUACCAAGGCGACGAUCCGUAACUGGUCUGAGAGGAUGAUCAGUCACACUGGAACUGAGACACGGUCCAGACGCCUACGGGAGGCAGCAGUGGGGAAUAUUGGACAAUGGGCGAAAGCCUGAUCCAGCCAUGCCGCGUGUGUGAAGAAGGUCUUCGGAUUGUAAAGCACUUUAAGUUGGGAGGAAGGGCAGUAAGUUAAUACCUUGCUGUUUUGACGUUACCAACAGAAUAAGCACCGGCUAACUUCGUG
rnacentral:rRNA from 1 species